AACGAACGCUGGCGGCAUGCUUAACACAUGCAAGUCGAACGAUCUUUUGGCUUCGGCUGAGAGGGAGUGGCGCACGGGUGAGUAGCGCGUGGGAACCUGCCCUGGAGUGGGGGAUAACCGAUGGAAACGUCGGCUAAUACCGCAUGAUCCCGGAGUGAUCCGGGCAAAGAUUUAUCGCUUUGGGAGGGGCCCGCGUCGGAUUAGCUAGUUGGUGGGGUAACGGCCCACCAAGGCUAUGAUCCGUAGCUGGUCUGAGAGGAUGAUCAGCCA
rnacentral:rRNA from 1 species